CCUCGGCUGAGCCUCCCAGGUGCCCCAGGAAUCUGCAUUUUUAAUGGGCAGCCCAGCUUUAGAACCCGUUCUCCUAGCAGAUCUCCCACUGAUUACAGAGCAUCUCCUGUCUGCCUUACUUGUAACAAAGCCACAGACCCUUCUGUCUCAGAUACAGGACUGGAGGGAGAGAAGACGUCUCCCUACCUCUUCUUCCAAAGCUCUCUUGUGUGGCUGGGCCUCGUGUCUGCGGAUGAGAAGGUCAUGCGGGAAGGUCAGUGAACAAGGCUCAGGAACCACACAAGGAAUGGAGCACUGCGAUGUCGGGGCCUCUUCUGGUCCGGGACUACGGAACCAAACACCAUUUAGUUUUGUCACUCACUAGUCCUCGAAAACUUACUGAGUGCUUCCUUAAUAAAUAAACCAGGCGCCAUUCUUCAAUUUUUUGUCAGAUAUGAAAAAUGAAGCUGAGGUUUAAGUCCCAAAUUAUUCCCAAAUAGGCAGCACCAGCAAAAUAAUUAGGAGAAUUAAGACAGUCCUCUCCCUUUCUCUGAGUGUGUGUGUGGUGCCUUUGUGUCACACACAGGUGGGUUAGGGACUUUAUCUUAUGGUUUUCCAAAUGUGUGUAGAAUUAAUUCACUUUAUUACUUCCUUCAUGCAUUUGUUUGUUCGCUUAGUAUGCAUCCACCCAUCCACUCAUUCAACUAGUGUCUGUCGUAAGCCUGCUGUGCGUCAGUCUAGGCGAUACGAAUACGGUGAUGAACGAGACAAAGUUUUUGCCCUCAUGGAGUUUUUAUUUCAAGGCAGACAAUGCCCUCAUAUGCUUAUUACAUAAACAUUUUGCAAUUUAUGUUUCCAGUAGAGAUUGGCAGUUCAACAGACUGCAAAUUGGCAGUUCGACAGACUGCCCUUGCUUUUCUCUUCCUGGCUUGAAAAUGUUCUUUCAGGAAAGACACCUUCCCAGACAUUUCAUUACAUGUUUGAAGUAUUUAUACACAUACCUGGGGAAAAUGAACUCUAAAACUGUGAACUCUACAAGGCACGUAAGUCAAAAGGGCAUGGCUUCCCCUUUUUCCAGAAGAGGAAAUGAGGACUGGAGAUGUCGAAUAACCUACCCAAGGACAUGCAGGCGAUUACUCUCUCCUGGGUGCAGGUAAUGGCCAACAGGUGUGCCUCUUAGGGAAUCACCAGUAGAUCCAGGAUGGUGAGAGCUUAUUUAAUAUGCUGACGUAUUGGGCGGCAACGGGAAGGAUGCCGCAGUCACACCGAGGCUCAUUGAACAAGAGUGAUGUGAGUGCCGUGAGGAGCCCCAACUGACGGACUUACCAAGGCGUUGCCACCGUGGGGACUCCCAGGCUGAAGAUCACAUGGGAAACGUAGCUGGACCUCAGGAGGUGUAUGGCUUCUGUGAGGACGGAGUGGAGCUCAGGCAGCAGGGCCCUGCAAGGACGGCCCAUAGCAGACCCUACCAGCCACCGACUUCAGCAUGUAGGCCUUCCAGGGAGGACCCGGAGGAUGGCACAGGGACCUGCGCGCAUGAAUCAUGUGGGUUGAGGACCUCCGUCCCCUUUCAUGCCAGCACCAGCCAAAACAGUCCUAAAUGAUACAGUUAGCAAGGAUAGAGUUUGAACAAGAGGGAGUUUGAUGUUGCUGAAAGGUCAAUUACAUCAUGCUAAUGUGUCCAUCUUCACUUUUAAGGAUUUUUCUGAAUAGAAACAUGGCGUCAGCUAUUGGAAUCUCUUUUGGGAGGAUCCUUUUCUCUCCUCUGCUUUACCACCAUCUAGCAUCCAGAGUCACCUAAUUCAAGAGCCCAACUAAGUCAUCCCGGAGUGUGAGGUGACCUGCAGGACAAGUGGGUGCCCAUCACUGCAAAGCCACACAUGCACCUGGACCAGGAACCAGAGAAGCUGGAGGAGACCCAGUGGGCAGUGGAGAUGCUGUGGGCCCAGCCAGUGUCCACAGCACCCAGAAAUUCCCUGAUUCCUCUGCCUUCAUUUCCUUGAGGAUACGGAUGAAUAGCUUGGGACUGAUGUUCACCUGCUAUUUGGGAAAGCUUGUUGGGUCAGUUCCCCUGAGUGGUCAUGAGACAGUGCCCAGCUUAGCAGGUGUGUCCCUGAAGUACAUUUGUCAUCAGAAAGGGAAUUCCUCUUUGUUGCAAAUGAAAUGUGAUUGCUUGUCAGGUGAGUAAGUACCCACGAGUCCUGGGUCCCUGCCAAGCUUGUUCAGGUUGGCUGUUGGAGAUAUUCUGGGAUGUAAGGGAACAUUCCCUUGUAAACCCAGGGAGUAUAAUUCACUGUAAUGUGACUAAAACUGUGACACAAGAUUCAUCUGCUUCACAUUCCUAGGUUGUGCCUUGAGCAUUCAGAAGAAAUGUUACAUUAAUUGGUUAAAAUAUCAGAAUGCAACAGUUCUUAAUGUACUCCACCAUGUCCUGAAGCACUGUCAGAAUAUGAAAUCGACUGGGUGAAUUUCCUCUUGAGUGACAGCUAUAAGUAUCUGCAAAAUGGACUUCUAAAUUUUCAGUGGUUGCCAAAUCAAGAUACUUCUGUAAGAAGAGACCCACGUUCAAGAUUAAUGGGUAAAAAUGACUUUGAUGGUGAUGAUAAAGAAAUAAUAGUAAUUAACAUUUGUGGAAUGUUAUUUACAUGUAUUACUACACUUAGUUCUCAGAACAACCCAAUGAAGAAGGUGCUAUAAUAAUCCUCAUUUUACUGGUGAGGAAGUUGGAGCUUAGAAAGCUUAAUAAACUUGUCCAAGGUGACACAGCUAGUGAAUUCCAGAAAUCAGACUCAAACCAGUCAUUCUGACUCUAGAAACUAUUUUAUUUACUGUCUCCUUAUAUUUCCAGGUUUAGUUCAUAUUUCUUUCCUCCUUCUCCCCUCCCUCCCUCUUUUUCUUCUUCCCUCU